rnacentral:rRNA from 1 species
CUACGGGAGGCAGCAGCGGGGAAUAUUGGACAAUGGGCGCAAGCCUGAUCCAGCAAUGCCGCGUGAGUGAAGACGGCCUUAGGGUUGUAAAACUCUUUCGCUAGGGAAGAUAAUGACUGUACCUAGUAAAGAAGUCCCGGCUAACUCCGUGCCAGCAGCCGCGGUAAUACGGAGGGGACUAGCGUUGUUCGGAAUUACUGGGCGUAAAGAGUUCGUAGGCGGACUGACAAGUUAGAGGUGAAAUCCCAGGGCUCAACCCUGGAACUGCCUUUAAAACUGUCAGUCUAGAGACCGGAAGAGGUUGGGGGAAUACCUAGUGUAGAGGUGAAAUUCGUAGAUAUUAGGUGGAACACCAGUGGCGAAGGCGCCUAACUGGUCCGGUACUGACGCUGAGGAACGAAAGCGUGGGGAGCAAACAGGAUUAGAUACCCGCGUAGUC